UACGAAGGGGGCUAGCGUUGCUCGGAAUCACUGGGCGUAAAGGGUGCGUAGGCGGGUCUUUAAGUCAGGGGUGAAAUCCUGGAGCUCAACUCCAGAACUGCCUUUGAUACUGGCGAUCUUGAGUCCGGGAGAGGUGAGUGGAACUGCGAGUGUAGAGGUGAAAUUCGUAGAUAUUCGCAAGAACACCAGUGGCGAAGGCGGCUCACUGGCCCGGUACUGACGCUGAGGCACGAAAGCGUGGGGAGCAAACAGG
rnacentral:rRNA from 1 species